GUACCUUUCUUGGCUGAUCCCUUUCACUGUAUGGCAUGCUCGUUUGGGUUGGGCGUCGGCUAAGAGUGCUCGGAGAGUGGAUUAACUCCAGUCUCCUAUCAGGUGAGCCUUGAUAUUGGGACUUGGAGCCGGAGGGGAUUCAAAGUGGCCACAAUGAUCGUUUUUGGGCUUUGAAAUAAGUGAUUGGUUUUCUUUAGUUUACCUUAUUUAUUAUUUAUUUUUGGGUUGUAAUAAGGCCAUUUUAACUUUAUUUUCUUUUCUGGGAUUAUUUUAUUUUUAAUAACUUUAAACUGGUUAUUAAUAAUUCAAAUGGGCUAGAAUUAAAACGCGGUUUCAAAA